GCUUGCGACACAUUAGUUAGUUGGCAGGGUAAAGGCCUACCAAGACUAUGAUGUGUAGCUGGACUGAGAGGUUGAACAGCCACAUUGGGACUGAGACACGGCCCAAACUCCUACGGGAGGCAGCAGUAGGGAAUUUUCGGCAAUGGAGGAAACUCUGACCGAGCAACGCCGCGUGAACGAUGAAGUACCUCGGUAUGUAAAGUUCUUUUAUUAAGGAAGAAAAAAGAGURGAAAAACUCCCUUGACGGUACUUAAYGAAUAAGCCCCGGCUAAUUAUGUGCCAGCAGCCGCGGUAAUACAUAARGGGCGAGCGUUAUCCGGAAUUAUUGGGCGUAAAGGGUGCGUAGGCGGUUUAAUAAGUCUAUAGUUUAAUUUCAGCGCUUAACGCUGUUGUGCUAUAGAAACUGUUUUACUAGAGUGAGUUAGAGGCAAGCGGAAUUCCAUGUGUAGCGGUAAAAUGCGUAAAUAUAUGGAGGAACACCAGAGGCGUAGGCGGCUUGCUGGGACUUUACUGACGCUGAGGCACGAAAGCGUGGGGAGCAAACAGGAUUAGAUACCCUGGUAGUCCACGCCGUAAACGAUGAGUACUAAGUGUCGGGUAAAACCGGUACUGAAGUUAACACAUUAAGUACUCCGCCUGAGUAGUACGUACGCAAGUAUGAAACUUAAAGGAAUUGACGGGACUCCGCACAAGCGGUGGAUCAUGUUGUUAAUUCGAAGAUACACGAAAAACCUUACCAGGUCUUGACAUUUUCUUGCGAAGUUAUAGAAAUAUAAUGGAGGUUAUCAGGAAAACAGGUGGUGCAUGGUUGUCGUCAGCUCGUGUCGUGAGAUGUUAGGUUAAGUCCUAAAACGAGCGCAACCCUUGUCGUUAAUUGCCAGCAUGUAAUGAUGGGGACUUUAACGAGACUGCCAAUGAAAAAUUGGAGGAAGGUGGGGAUUACGUCAAAUCAUCAUGCCCCUUAUGAUCUGGGCUACAAACGUGAUACAAUGGUUGAUACAAAGAGUAGCUGAAACGCGAGUUCUUAGCCAAUCUCAMAAAAUCAAUCUCAGUUCGGAUUGAAGUCUGCAACUCGACUUCAUGAAGUUGGAAUCGCUAGUAAUCGCGAAUCAGCAUGUCGCGGUGAAUACGUUCUCGGGGUUUGUACACACCGCCCGU
rnacentral:rRNA from 1 species